rnacentral:rRNA from 1 species
UCGAAGGGGGCAAGCGUUGUUCGGAAUUACUGGGCGUAAAGGGCGCGUAGGCGGCCGAUCAAGUCAGGCGUGAAAUUCCCGGGCUCAACCCGGGGCUGCGCUUGAUACUGAUUGGCUUGAAUGCGGGAGAGGAUAGUGGAAUUCCCAGUGUAGAGGUGAAAUUCGUAGAUAUUGGGAAGAACACCAGUGGCGAAGGCGGCUAUCUGGCCCGUUAUUGACGCUGAGGCGCGAAAGCGUGGGGAGCAAACAGGA